rnacentral:rRNA from 1 species
GACGAACGCUGGCGGCGUGCUUAACACAUGCAAGUCGUACGGUAAGGCCCUUUCGGGGGUACACGAGUGGCGAACGGGUGAGUAACACGUGAGUAACCUGCCCACAACUUUGGGAUAACGCUAGGAAACUGGUGCUAAUACUGGAUAUGUGCUCCUGCUGCAUGGUGGGGGUUGGAAAGCUCCGGCGGUUGUGGAUGGACUCGCGGCCUAUCAGCUUGGUGGUGGGGUAGUGGCCUACCAAGGCGGCGACGGGUAGCCGGCCUGGGAGGGUGACCGGCCACAUUGGGACUGAGAUACGGCCCAGACGCCUACGGGAGGCAGCAGUGGGGAAUAUUGCACAAUGGGCGCAAGCCUGAUGCAGCAACGCCGCGUGCGGGAUGACGGCCUUCGGGUUGUAAACCGCUUUCAGCAGGGACGAAGCUUUUUGUGACGGUACCUGCAGAAGAAGCACCGGCUAACUACGUG